UACGGAGGGGGCUAGCGUUGUUCGGAAUUACUGGGCGUAAAGCGUGUGUAGGCGGCUAGGUAAGUCGGAUGUGAAAGCCCCGGGCUCAACUCGGGAAGUGCACUCGAUACUGCUUAGCUCGAGUACCGGAGAGGUUGGUGGAAUUCUCGGUGUAGAGGUGAAAUUCGUAGAUAUCGAGAGGAACACCGGUGGCGAAGGCGGCCAACUGGACGAGUACUGACGCUGAGACACGAAAGCGUGGGGAGCAAACAGG
rnacentral:rRNA from 1 species